rnacentral:rRNA from 1 species
UCGAGGGGCAGCGGGGGUGAUGGCUUGCCAUCACCUGCCGGCGACCGGCGCACGGGUGAGUAACACGUAUGCAACCUGCCCGCCACAGGGGGAUAAGCGGAAGAAAUUCCGUUUAAUACCGCGUGACGCGGCGUCGGGGCAUCCCGGUGCCGCCAAAGGGAUUACCGGUGGCGGAUGGGCAUGCGGCGCAUUAGCUAGUCGGCGGGGUAACGGCCCACCGAGGCGACGAUGCGUAGGGGUUCUGAGAGGAAGGUCCCCCACACUGGUACUGAGACACGGACCAGACUCCUACGGGAGGCAGCAGUGAGGAAUAUUGGUCAAUGGGCGGGAGCCUGAACCAGCCAAGUCGCGUGAGGGAUGACGGUCCUACGGAUUGUAAACCUCUUUUGCCGGGGAGCAAGCGUGCGUUCGUGAACGCGCGUCGAGAGUACCCGGAGAAAAAGCAUCGGCUAACUCCGUGCCAGCAGCCGCGGUAAUACGGAGGAUGCGAGCGUUAUCCGGAUUUAUUGGGUUUAAAGGGUGCGUAGGCGGGAUGCCAAGUCAGCGGUAAAAAAGCGGUGCUCAACGCCGUCGAGCCGUUGAAACUGGCGUUCUUGAGUGGGCGAGAAGUAUGCGGAAUGCGUGGUGUAGCGGUGAAAUGCAUAGAUAUCACGCAGAACUCCGAUUGCGAAGGCAGCAUACCGGCGCCCUACUGACGCUGAGGCACGAAAGCGUGGGUAUCGAACAGGAUUAGAUACCCUGGUAGUCCACGCAGUAAACGAUGAAUGCUAACUGUCCGGUGCGAAUGAGCGCUGGGCGGUACAGCGAAAGCGUUAAGCAUUCCAC